rnacentral:lncRNA from 1 species
GACUCUAGUCUUUAAAAACUGGAUUGUGAGAGAGGAGAUGUGAAAUUAAGAGUGUGAAAUUGAGAGAGGAUGAAAAAUUUCGAAUGAUCAUGAACAAUUUAUAGAGAGAGCAGACAAAAGAUUUUUGGUUCCGGAGAACAUCAAUCGCCAAUCGAACUCCUUUAUUGCUGCAACGGAUUUCUCCAUAAUUGAUGUAACGGGUAUUUGACUUGGAGAAGGAAUGAGAAGAUGAGAAGAUUAAGAGUUGGAGAGAGAAGAAGAGAUUGAAAGAAGAUUUUUGUUGGAGAAUGGAGAAAUAAAGAAGACGCAAAAAAGAGGAGAAGAGUUGAACGACAAUAGGGUUUUCCAAACCUAUAAUUAUGGUUUUAUUUUUAUUUUAUAUUAAUGAUAAGUAUAUAUUAAUUAAUAUAACAAAUGACAAAAAAAAAAUUGGGCCCCUUCAGCCUUGGGCCCGGUGCGUGGGCACUGCCUGUACUGGGCCAGGGCCGGGCCUGGAUAACAACAUCAUUCUAAACCAUAAACCAAGCAAACUACCCUCUAAUCUCAUGCAACAUCAAACAUGAGUUAAUAUUAAUACAACUUAAGACACCCCACAUAAGUACAUGACAGCCUUCAAAAAUAAAAAUAUCUAAUAUAAUCUUGAAUACCAAACAUGUAAAUGUGUUGGACUAAAGAAGAGAUCAAUUUGGGUCCGCGCAUCUCUUUGUCGCUAAACCCUUGAAUGGGUAGUGGUACAUACGAGUGGGGUAUAGUUGAUUAGCAAUGUGUUUAGGUGGCGAUUAUUAGUAGUGAUGGAUUAGGGUGUUGGUUAGCCGAAAUGACUUGAACCCAUAAUGUUUGAUUGAUUGUUCCCCCCGACCUCCUCCUGAGAGAGAGAGAGAGAGAGAGAGAGAGAGAGAGAGAGAGAUCUAUANNNNNNNNNNNNNNNNNNNNGAGAGAGAGAGAGGCUCUAUCUAAUAUUGUAGGGCUAGCUAGAGCCCCUAGAGGAGAGGAUUAGGUCUCUUUGUCUCUAGGAGGGUUAGUGUUGCAAUCACAUUUCUUAAUCCUUCAUUACCAGUAACCUAAGAUGGAUCAACUACACUUUAUCUCUAUGCAGUAAUUACUAUGGACACCCAGCAGAAUUCUAAGGACCACCUGAGUAGCAGAGAGCCAAGUAGCUGCACUCCCUUUUGUCUGUAUCUGUUCUCUUCCUCUUUAAGUUGUAAUCUCUUCCCUAGUUAUGGGUAUGAAAUGAAUAUGAAAUCUUCUUAGUUAUCUGUGUUUCUUUUACUUUCGUUCUUCCCUUAAUCAAUGUUCUCAUCAAGUGGUAUCUAGAGCUUGGUUCCGAUGCGAGGCAUCUAAAAUCCCCGCCCUUCCCUCCCUAAUUCUGAGGGCAGGAUUCCAACCAUCCCACAACCCAACACCCAAACACCACCCCGCCAUGCUACCCCUACCCAUUCCUCCCCAUCAAACACUUACACCAUCUCCACAGAUUAGCUGCACACAUUUCAAGCCGAUGUGGACAGCCUACACGACCAAACUGAGGUUCUCCAAUCUCAGAACGAGGAACUCCACUCCUCCAUCGUGGCAAUAGCUUGUAGCCAGACUCUCAUGGCACAUCAGUUUGCGGUAAUCCAGAAUUUGUGGAUGAAUCAGGCGGUUCACAACGCCUCAACGGGUGCACCUACCACAGCUCCUUCCAUCGGGCCUCCUCCUGACGUUGGUUUCCUGAGCUACAACGCUGGUCACCAGUCAGCUACACCGACCUCACACCAGGCAGUGCCUUCCCAAAACAGCAUCGCGCUGCCACCACCAUCCCCGCAGCCCAGCUUUUCCCAGGGAGUUUGAAGCCCUUCUACCCCAGCCAUCUCUUUCGGCUCCUUUCCACCACAAACUCCCAAUAUUGACACCAUGUCCUCACCACAACCCACUCUCACACCACCACAACCACAACAACCGCACCCGCAUCAAUCCCAAACCGUACUCACACCACCACAUCCACAAUUCAUCCCGCCCCAACCUCAGUAUCACUAUUACCAUCCUCCACCACAAAACCACUAUCGCCCUCCAAAGAUUGAGCUCCCUCGCUUCAAUGGCGAUGAUGUUAUGGGUUGGCUAGCGAUGGCUGAGCUCUACCUCCGUAUGAACAAUGUUCUGGUUCAUGACAGAGUGCAAACCGUGGCAAGCUUAUUCGGCUAGGACCCGUCGAUUUGGAUGAAUGCGUAUGAACAACGUCAUCCCAAUCCAACAUGGGAAGAGUUCUCUGCAGCUCUGUUGAGUCGUUUCGGUGCGAGGACUGCCUCAGAUUUCAAAGGCCGCUUGGCGCACCUACAACAGACCGCUUCGGUUGACGAGUUCAUCAACUCCUUCACCAAACUCUCUUGCCGCACUCCGGAUUGGGCCGAAAGGGAUCUCAUUCCCAUCUUUAUCGAUAGUCUUCGACCCGAGCUCCGCCAUGAUGUCCGUGCUAUGAAUCUUGCAACCUUAGCAGAUGCUCAACGUCUAGCACGCUGCUAUGAAACUCGAAACAACGCCAUUCGCCCUCCCAAUCCCUUCCGCCACCGCCUUUUUGCUCAACCUAAUCCUGUUCGCUCCUCCUUCACCUCUCACACACCAACCAGUAAUUCUCCCAUUCAACCACUUACACCCACCACCACCACCACCACCACCACCACCACCCAUAUUAGACCACCACCAACAACUCCCCAAAAUACACAACCAUUCAGAUCGUUUCGCCAUUUUUCCACACCGGAACAACGCGAACGUCGAGCCCGAAACCUUUGCUUCAACUAUGAUGAACAGUAUUCAAAGAACCAUGUCUGUAAACAGACAUUCAUGGCCAUCUUGGAAAGACCGAGCCUAGAGGAGGAGCCACUUGAGACUGAGGAACCUCAGCACGAGGAUGAUACACAACCUCUGACCACCCUGCACCCGAACCCGGCGUUGCCGCUCUAGCCAUCACCACCACGAAACUCAGUGAGGUGAUGCGAAUCCAUGGCUCAAUCAACAGCCAACCCAUUUUGGUCUUCAUCGAUUGUGGGUCCGUCACCAAUUUUUUAAACCCGGCUGCGGCGCACCGGUUGGGCAUGCCGGUUUACCCACCGGCGACGUCGCGCUUCACAUCGGCCUCAGGCCACCUUGUCGUUCCCUCUGGUGUGGUCCACAAGGUGACCGUUGAGAUGCAAAGAUACCAAUUCACGAGCUCCUUUCUUCUGUUACCCGUGGCAGACUGUGAUCUGGAACUGGGGGCAGAGUUGUUGGACACACUUGGCUACAUUGACUGACACUUCAAAGAUAAAAUUAUGGCUUUUGUCUCAGGGGGACAACGCCAUUUACUACGAGGAAUCACCGCCAGGCGUACUUCGGAGGAUGACAAAUUGCUAUUUGACUGUUUUCCUCCAGAUCCAUUUGAGUCCCCACUUCCAAUGCACGCCUUGACUGAGUCAGACAUGGAUCCCACCUUAUCAUCCCUACUAUCAACUUUCACUGAUAUUUUUGAACCUCCUGUAGGCCUACCCCCACCCAGGCCCAUUGAUCAUCGAAUACAAUUACAGCCUAACUCUUUACCAGUGAAUGUAAGGCCUUACAAGUAUGGACACUCACAAAAGACAGAAAUUGAAGCCCAAGUCCAGGACAUGUUGAAUCUAGGCAUCAUCCAACACAGCCGCAGUCCGUUUUCCUCCCCAGUCCUUUUAGUGAGCAAAAAGGAUAACACUUGGUGGUUUUGUGUCGAUUACCGGGAGUUGAACGCCAUCACCAUCAAGGAUCGUUUCCCCAUUCCGGUGGUCGAUGAACUCCUCAAUGAACUUCAUGGCGCUCGUUAUUUCACGAAGCUUGAUCUCCGCUCCGGGUAUCAUCAAGUUCAGAUGCGUUCCGAGGAUGUCCCCAAGACGGCUUUCCGCACCCACGAUGGGCACUAUGAGUUUUUGGUCAUGCCAUUCGGCCUAUCCAAUGCGCCAGCUACAUUUCAAGCAUUGAUGAAUAUGCUCUUCAAGCCAUAUUUACGGAGGUGUGUCUUAAUUUUUUUUUAUGACAUCUUGAUUUAUAGCAAGGACUUUAUUUCCCAUAUGGAGCACUUACAACUCAUUUUGGAAGCCAUGCAGACCAAUGAGUUGAAAGCGAAGCUCUCUAAGUGCUCUUUUGCUCAACAAAGUGUUAAUUAUUUGGGUCAUGUCAUCUCCGGUGAGGGCGUUGCUAUGGACCCCGAGAAAGUGCAGUGCAUUGUGGAUUGGGCCAAGCCUCUCACUAUUAAAAGCCUACGGGGUUUUUUGGGCCUCACGGGGUAUUACCGGAAAUUUAUAAAGCAUUAUGGCAUGUUGGCCAAGCCUCUCACAUACAUGUUAAAGGCCCACAGUUUUCAUUGGAGUCCAAUAUCCGAGCAGGCCUUCUUGGCACUAAAACAUGCAAUUACAUCUGCCCCAGUCCUUGCACUACCUGAUUUCACAACUGCAUUCGACCUAGAAACUGAUGGGAUCGGUGCGGUGCUCUCCCAGCAGCGUCAUCUAUUGCCUUCCUCAGUAAGAUCUUUUCUCCCCAAAAUCAAGCUCUUUCUGUUUAUGACAAAGAGAUGCUAGCCAUUCUUUUUGCGGUGAACAAAUGGCGUCACUAUCUUUUGGGGAAUUUCUUCAACAUCAUCACCGAUCACCAACCUCUCAAACACCUGUUGGAGCAACGCAUCUCGACGCCUUCUCAACAUCGGUGGCUAUACAAAUUGAUGGGUUACAACUACAAAAUCACAUACCGACCUGGCACACUAAAUUCGGCGGCUGAUACUUUGUCCCGUCAAUUGGAGCUAUGCGCGAUCCAGCAUGUGUCCGCUCCGGUGUUUGACAGCCUAUCCACCAUUGAUCGGACCUGCCUCGACGAUCCCACCGCUUCAGCAAUCAUCACCGCUCUCAAAGCCAACAAUGAGACCAAGAAGCACUUUGAGUUGCGCCAAAACAGGUUGUUCUACAAGGGCAACAUCUAUGUGCCCCUCACCUCGGAUUGGCGCUGCAAGAUAUUGGAUGAGUUCCAUGCUUCUCUCGAGGGUGGUCAUUCCGGUUAUCUCUGAACUUACAUUCGCCUCGCCUUGAGCUUCUCUUGGCCGGGUAUGCGAAAGGAUGUGAAGCGCUUUGUGGCGGCAUGUGAUCAAUGUCAACGCCAAAACUCAGAAUCGGUGAAUCCACCGGGCUUGCUCCAACCACUUCCGGUCCCUGAUGAUGUGUGGGUUGAUAUAUCUCUUAAUUUUGUUGAGGGUUUGCCAAGUUCAGAUGGCAAGAACACCAUUCUUGUGGUGGUGGACCGUCUCUCUAAGUCCGGUCACUUCAUUGCCAUCUCUCACCCAUACACCGCUGCAGACAUUGCAGACAUCUUUGUGUGUGAGAUCUUUCGCCUCCAUGGUAUGCCGAGAUCCAUCACUAGUGAUCGUGAUCCAAUUUUUAUCAGCAAGUUUUGGGAAGCUUUUUUCAAGUUACAAGGUACCAGACUCUGCCGAAGCUCGGCCUAUCACCCCUAAUCCUAUGGCCAAACGGAGGUUGUGAAUCGUUGCUUGGAGCACUAUCUCCGUUGUUUCGUGGCGGACAAACCUACAAAGUGGGCGUCCCUCCUCCACUGGGCGGAGUGGUGGUACAACACCACUUAUCACUCCACCAUUCACAUGACGCCAUACCAGUCACUUUACGGCAGAACCCCUCCUUCGGUUCUCUCGUACACACCGGGAACCACCAAGGUUCACUCAGUGGACAUUGCCUUGCGGAACCGAGAUGAUCUCCUUAAGCUUCUCCGCUCCAACAUGGCUAUGGCACAGAACAAAAUGAAGCAGCAGACUGAUCAACAUCGCACUGAGCGGACCUUUGAGGAAGGCGACUGGGUUUAUCUCAAGUUACAUCCAUACCGGCAAAAGUCACUCGUCAAACGGCCAUCUCACAAGCUUGCUCCCAGGUUCUAUGGCCCAUUUCAGAUUGUUUCUAAGAUAGGUACAGUCACCUACAAAUUGCGCCUUCCUCCACGCUCCAAGCUGCAUCCGAUUUUCCAUGUGUCACUGUUGAAGAAGAAACUUGGUGCCAACAUCCCUGUUCAAGUGACUCUACCCCCUACUGAUGACACUGGAUCCCUCCAAGGUCCUCGACAUGGCAGUGGUAAGGAAGAAAAAUCGCUCUAUGACACAAUGGCUGGUGUAGUGGGAGGGCCUUCUUGAAUCAGAUGCUACAUGGGAAGAUGCCUAUACCAUCAUGAACCACUUUCCACAGUUUCGGGCUUGAGGACAAGCUCCCUCUUAGGGGGGAGACCUUGUUGCAAUCACAUUUCUUAAUCCUUCAUUACCAGUAACCCAAGAUGGAUCAACUACACUUUGUCUCUAUGCAGUAAUUACUAUGGACACCCAGCAAAAUUCUAAGGACCACCUGAGUAGCAUAGAGCCAAGUAGCUGCACUCCUUUUUGUCUGUAUCUGUUCUCUUCCUCUUUAAGUUGUAAUCUCUUCCCCAGUUAUAGGUAUGAAAUGAAUAUGAAAUCUUCU